AGAGGGGGCAAGCGUUGCUCGGAAUCACUGGGCGUAAAGGGCGCGUAGGCGGGAUGGCAAGUCGGUCGUGAAAUCCCUCGGCUCAACCGAGGAGCGUCGGCCGAUACUGCCGUUCUUGAGGGAUGCAGAGGAGACUGGAAUUCCCGGUGUAGCGGUGAAAUGUGUAGAGAUCGGGAGGAACACCGGUGGCGAAGGCGGGUCUCUGGGCAUCUCCUGACGCUGAGGCGCGAAAGCGUGGGGAGCAAACGGGAUUAGAUACCCCGGUAGUCCACGCUGUAAACGAUGACGACUAGGUGUGGGGUGGUUCAGUCCAUUCCGUGCCGCAGCUAACGCAUUAAGUCGUCCGCCUGGGGAGUACGGCCGCAAGGUUG
rnacentral:rRNA from 1 species